rnacentral:tmRNA from 1 species
GGGGGCGACUGGCUUCGACGGGGUUAGUGAAGCUGUGGCCGCGUGCCCAGGUACUCAGGUCCUGGUAAAACCUCUGGGGAUUUUUUCAACUGCCAACCAAAACUUGGCCCUGGCUGCGUAACUCUUCGGAGUUGCUGCACCUGCUCUUAGAGAAGCCCUCCUGAGGCGGCUUUAAGGGUAUCGCAAAUUCGGGAUAGUCGGCUGCUGUGUCUUCCGGUAGUCGGUGAAUUCAAGAAAGACUUGUCCAGAAGUGGGCUGUCCACUGGCCAGCGGCUGGAGACCUCAAUCGGUGGAAUACGCACGUAGACGCUGUGGUCGAUCUUGUCUCGGACCGGGGUUCGAAUCCCCGCGCCUCC